rnacentral:lncRNA from 1 species
AGAGGCGUUUAGAAUGGAGGAGAGGAGCUGGGCUCAUCUGCGAGCUUGAGUGGAACAGCAGUGGGGACAGGAGAGCUGCGACAUUGGAGAAGUUCCAAAGAGGCUGUUUCCUUGCUUAGCCACGGGUGGAAGUCACAUCCACUGAACUGUCACCUGGCAGGCAUUAUAAAUUAAGGAGGAAUAGUAACAAAGAGCUUGAAGACAUGCACAGCUCACAGGCCCCGGGUGGAGGCUGGCGACAUCAGACAGACAGAACCAAGACAUCUGAGGGGCAACCAGGAGGUGCGUGUGGCUGCAGAGCACACAGACUUGUCUUUGGACAAAAUUGAGAAGAACUCAUAAACUUGGCUUCCUCGCUUCUGCUCCUCAGACCCCUGCAAACAUGACUUACCUUGGAAAC